AGAACCAUGAUUAAGUUGUAAAAAAUGACCAAGGAACAAGAACUUAAAUAAAAGGGAGAAUUUUCAUAUCAAGAAAACUAGGGCCUCGCCUGCAACUUUUUUAUAUGUGUCAUUGAAAUCAUAAAUUUUCAAAAUCUGCGUUCUUCUUCUCAAAUCAAUCCUUUUCAGUUCCCCUCGGCUUCAGCUUUCAGCUUCCAUUUGGUUUCACACUAAACUAACAAGUAAGGUUCAUGUUUCUCAAAUCAAUCCAGAAUUAGGGUUCAUGUUUUCCUUUCAUUUACCUGUUCCUGUGAUUUAGUUUUGGUUUUAUUCUUUCAUUCAUGCAUUGUUUCGUUUGAUUUCUCUCUCACAUUGUUCUUUAAUUCUUCUUUUAAAUGUUAACUACACAUCUUAAUAGAACCAUUUUCUGUACAUUUUUCUACCAACACUUCAGAUUCAACCUCUUUUGCAGUUUCCUAUCUCAUCAACAAUUUUGUUUGGGUUUUCCCCACAAUCUGCUUCCAACCUUUGUUCCACUUACAAUGUUACUUUCAAGACUGCCCAAAAACCUGAUUCUGUUCUCACAUUCUUUAAUAGUUUCUCUAACUCCCAACUUCACGAUAUCGUUGCAAAGUUACCAGGGCUACUUUCCUGCAACCCCUCCAUAAGGGUGUUGCCAAAGUUUCAAUUUUUACUCUCCAAAGGUGCUUCUAAUUCUGACAUUGUUAACCUUGUCAGUAAGUCCCAACCUAUGAAUUGGUUUAUAGAUUGUUGCAAUCAGACAAGGACAUUAUUGCUAGUGCAAUACAAUUUCCAGCUUUACUUUGCGACUGUCGUGUGCCACAUAACAUCACAAUGCUGAUUGAGAAUGGAGUUACAGACUCAACCAUUGCAAGAUUGCUUCGGAGGAAGUCUCGGACAUUGAAUACGGAUUCACCUUGCAUGCUGAAGUUGAUUGAGGAAUUGAAGGAUUUGGGUAUUAAUCCUUCAAGAAUAUCCUUUGGUAUAGCAUUGAAAGCCAAGCUAACUGUAAGAAUAUCCUUCAAGAAAAAGUCAAUGCCUUUAAGAAGUGGGGGUGGUCUGAUGAAGAUGUUCGAGAAGCAUUUAGAAAGAUGCCUCAUUGUAUGUUGGCAUCCAUUGAUAAAAUUAAUUUAGUGAUGAGCUUUGGGUCAAUCAGUUGGGUUGGGAUGCGCUUGCCCUUGUAAAAGGACCGGCGAUUUUUUCAAAUAGUUUGGAAAAAAGGAUCAUUCCGAGGGCCUCAGUUGUGCAAUUUCUGUUGAAGAAAGGUUUGUGAAAAAAGGAUGCAAGCUUAACUUAUCCAUUUGUAGUGUCUGAGCAGUUGUUUCUUGAUAUGUUUAUAAAACCUUUCAAGGAGGAUUCAUCUUAUCUAUUAAAGCUUUAUGAAGAAAAACUGAGUCUUGCACAAACCAGGGACAAAACCGGCAUGUCAUGAUCAAGUUUUCAGCUAUACUGGAAUAGAUUGCGGGAUUCAAAAUGGUUUCAAGUAGCGGUGCAGUUACAACUGUGGUUACAUUUCAAAUACCAACAGUGAAAAUAAUUGUGGACAAAUGCAGUGUACUGAUAUAUGGAUAUGGUGGAGUCAGAAUUAAAUAGUAUAAUGGUUUGUUGGUAUUUGAUUAACUGUCAUUGACAUUUUUUUUGCAUGUUAUGGAUUUUAUGUGACAACAUUAUGCAUUGAACAAUGGAAUUGCUUGAAUUUGUUUUAAGGGAACUGGUAUUCUUCUAAAGAUUAUGUCUAACUUCUGUUACUGAUAUACAAUGAGAUUGAACAUUGUUACUGAUAUAUAGGUAUAGAUAUAGAUAUACCACAUGGAUCGGUGAGAAGUGGAAUUAGUUAGUGAUCAAAUUCUAAGUAAGUAACAAAACCAAAUAAGAAAAAUCAUAAAUAAACCAAAUAAAAAAUUCCAGUAACAUAUUGCAAAUUGUCCGACGGAUGUGAACGAAUUCCAGUAACA